rnacentral:misc_RNA from 1 species
GUCGGUGGCUUUCUGAGCUCAUAUUACCACACUCGUUAGUUCUUAUCCUGCAGAAGCCUGUUCUUUCAGCUUUAUCUUUUUGCCCUUUAGUAGCAGGAUUGGCCCCUCCUCAUUGGUUGGCUUCUUGAAAUAUUUUAUAGCACAUCCAAUGCAACUACCAAACAUAGAUGUACAACACUAACGACUAACAAUUAAAAAUAUAUCAUCUAUCUGAUAAAUAUUAUAUUCGAGUCUUUACUUAUAUAAUCUUGCAAAUAAUACUUUAGCAUAUUUCUAAAUAAUAAUCUUAUUAUCUAAAAAUAUAGGUGUACCAUGAGAUAAGUAUUAGAUCUUUAAAUUUAGAUUUUCUUUCACUAUAUUGCUUGAUAAUUAAUAAUUAAAAAUUCUAAUUUGUAAAAAGCACUGCCAUCAUUUGAUGGCCAUAAAAGUUGCAUCUUCUUUUGGCCUUAAUUAAUUGUGUACCAGAUCAUUUUUAACAACCUGAAAUGCCCUACAGUCAAGUCAGUCAGAAGAUUCUCUUUUUUAUUCCAAUCACACUUACUAAUUAGGAUGAUAGUAUUUGACAAGGAUAGGCAUAGUUUUGUUAUUAUUUGCAGUGUAUGUAUUGUAAGUUCAUAAAGAGAAGGGCAAUCUUUGGCAACCAGGGCCAAGCACUGAAACAACAGGACUUGCUUGAUGGCAUAGAUCCAAACGACACCCAGUUUAAAAAUCUCCCUUUCCCGACUUCUCUCCCUCUCACUCUCCAGUAUGGACCUCUUGCUCAGCCUAGAGAGCUACGAGUACGACUACGGUACUAUACUACCGACACAAUAUGACAAACUCCUCUCUAGCACCCAAAACACAACAAAUUCAGGAAAGAAAACAAAAUAAAUAAAUGAGAAAGAGAGAGAAAGCGAAGGGGGGAGACAGACUUACAGGUUAGUGAUUUCCAUAUCUUGGUCACAACUCAAUCAUAGAUGCCCAAAAAAUAAACAAAUACAGAAGCAGGCAAAUAGAGGGCAACCCCAACAAUUCAAUUUGCCAAAACAGCUUAAAUUUAUUCCUAGGCAAUAAAACCAAGACCAUGUAGCCAGGGAAACCAAGUACCUGUUGAACUUGCUGUGGUAAUGUCUUG